ACGAACCGUGCGAACGUUAUUCGGAAUCACUGGGCUUAAAGCGCGUGUAGGCGGACCAUCACGUCCGAGGCUGAAAGCCCCCGGCUCAACCGGGGAAGGGGCCCGGAUACGAGUGGUCUGGAGGCGGGUAGGGGGAGCCGGAACUGCCGGUGGAGCGGUGAAAUGCGUUGAGAUCGGCAGGAACGCCCGUGGCGAAAGCGGGCUCCUGGACCUCGCCUGACGCUGAGACGCGAAAGCCAGGGGAGCGAACGGGA
rnacentral:rRNA from 1 species